rnacentral:rRNA from 1 species
AUUGAACGCUGGCGGCAUGCCUUACACAUGCAAGUCGAACGGCAGCACGGGAGCAAUCCUGGUGGCGAGUGGCGAACGGGUGAGUAAUAUAUCGGAACGUGCCCAGUCGUGGGGGAUAACGUAGCGAAAGCUACGCUAAUACCGCAUACGAUCUAUGGAUGAAAGCGGGGGAUCGCAAGACCUCGCGCGAUUGGAGCGGCCGAUAUCAGAUUAGGUAGUUGGUGGGGUAAAGGCUCACCAAGCCGACGAUCUGUAGCUGGUCUGAGAGGACGACCAGCCACACUGGGAAUGAGACACGGACCAGACUCCUACGGGAGGCAGCAGUGGGGAAUUUUGGACAAUGGGCGCAAGCCUGAUCCAGCAAUGCCGCGUGCAGGAUGAAGGCCUUCGGGUUGUAAACUGCUUUUGUACGGAACGAAACGGCGAGCUCUAAUACAGUUCGCUAAUGACGGUACCGUAAGAAUAAGCACCGGCUAACUACGUGCCAGCAGCCGCGGUAA